GUAUGUGUAUGCCAGUGUAUGUGUGUGCCAGUGUAUGUGUGUAUGAAUGCCAGUGUGUGUAUGCCAGUGUAUGUGUGUGUGUGUAUGCUGGUGUAUGAAUGCCAGUGUAUGUGUGUGUAUGCCAGUGUCUGAAUGCCAGUGUGUGUCUGAAUGCCAGUGUAUGAAUGCCAGUGUGUGUAUGCCAGUGUAUGUGUGUGUGUAUGCUGGUGUAUGAAUGCCAGUGUAUGUGUGUGUAUGCCAGUGUAUGAAUGCCAGUGUGUGUAUGCCAUUGUGUAUGCCAGUGUAUGUGUGUGCCAGUGUAUG